UCCUACGGGAGGCAGCAGUAGGGAAUCUUCCACAAUGGGCGCAAGCCUGAUGGAGCAACGCCGCGUGUGUGAUGAAGGGUUUCGGCUCGUAAAACACUGUUAUAAGAGAAGAACGGCACUGAGAGUAACUGUUCAGUGUGUGACGGUAUCUUACCAGAAAGGAACGGCUAAAUACGUGCCAGCAGCCGCGGUAAUA
rnacentral:rRNA from 1 species